CUCUGAGGAAGGUAGCAUAGUGUGCAGUUCACUGGACCAAAAGCUUUGGCUGCACCUCUUCUGGAAAGCCUGGCCAUGGGGCUCUUCAUGAUCAUUGCAAUUCUGCUGUUCCAGAAACCCACAGUAACCGAACAACUUAAGAAGUGCUGGAAUAACUAUGUACAAGGACAUUGCAGGAAAAUCUGCAGAGUAAAUGAAGUGCCUGAGGCACUAUGUGAAAAUGGGAGAUACUGUUGCCUCAAUAUCAAGGAACUGGAAGCAUGUAAAAAAAUUACAAAGCCACCUCGUCCAAAGCCAGCAACACUUGCACUGACUCUUCAAGACUAUGUUACAAUAAUAGAAAAUUUCCCAAGCCUGAAGACACAGUCUACAUAAAUCAAAUACAAUUUCGUUUUCACUUGCUUCUCAACCUAGUCUAAUAAACUAAGGUGAUGAGAUAUACAUCUUCUUCCUUUUGGUUUCUUGAUCCUUAAAAUGACCUUCGAGCAUAUUCUAAUAAAGUGCAUUGCCAGUU
rnacentral:lncRNA from 1 species